rnacentral:rRNA from 1 species
CCUAACACAUGCAAGUGGAACGGUAACAUUGGUUGCUUGCAACCAGAUGACGAGUGGCGCACGGGUGCGUAACGCGUAUACAACCUGCCCUUUACAGGGGGAUAGCCUUUAGAAAUGAAGAUUAAUACCCCAUGGAAAGCGGCCGUGGCAUCACGGCCUCUUUAAAGCUUCGGCGGUAAGGGAUGGGUAUGCGUUCUAUUAGCUAGAUGGUGUGGUAACGGCAUACCAUGGCGACGAUAGAUAGGGGCCCUGAGAGGGGGAUCCCCCACACUGGUACUGAGACACGGACCAGACUCCUACGGGAGGCAGCAGUGAGGAAUAUUGGACAAUGGAGGCAACUCUGAUCCAGCCAUGCCGCGUGCAGGAAGACUGCCCUAUGGGUUGUAAACUGCUUUUAUAUGGGAAGAAACACCCCCUCGUGAGGGGGCUUGACGGUACCGUAGGAAUAAGGAUCGGCUAACUCCGUGCCAGCAGCCGCGGUAAUACGGAGGAUCCAAGCGUUAUCCGGAAUCAUUGGGUUUAAAGGGUCCGUAGGUGGAUGAUUAAGUCAGGGGUGAAAGUCUGCAGCUCAACUGUAGAAUUGCCCUUGAUACUGGUUAUCUUGAGUUAUCGUGAAGUAGUUAGAAUAUGUAGUGUAGCGGUGAAAUGCAUAGAUAUUACAUAGAAUACCAAUUGCGAAGGCAGAUUACUAACGAUUUACUGACACUGAUGGACGAAAGCGUGGGGAGCGA